CAUUAAUAUGCCAGUCAAGACUACAGUUAAAACUACUCUUGCACUGCAACAGUGCAUAUGACCUUUAUGUGAUUGUACAGUAUUAAAAAGGUUUUUUUGCUUAUGUACAGUAAACUUUAUCAUAUGGCAGCAGCCUCUAUUGUGUUAAAUAAAUUAGUAUAGAGAAUAUUUUAUACUUUUGUUAUUAAAACAUCCAGGGCAAUUUAAUAUUUGUUCCUAGAUGUAACUCAUUUGAAUAGAUUUCUGCAUUUGUUAUUCAGCAAUGUAUAAAGCUAACCUUGAUAAUUUUACUUUUAAUUAAUUAUCUAAAUGGAAAAUGUUGUUAGCCGAACCACAUCCACCACAGCACAGAGAGCUCUAUCCGAGUUUAGAUGUAGAUCAUUGGAGGUUAAUAAAUUAUCUUCCAAAGCAGUGAGCCAAUCAAUACAACUGCAGUUGG
rnacentral:lncRNA from 1 species